UUUCUACAACCGAUCUUGCAAGAUCUUGACUGCACGUAAAACUCACGAUGGUUUCAAACCAAGUUCCAAAACAAAACGGAACAUCUGCAGGUGGCAGAACGGAAUGCAACGGCACGGGAUCCAGAGAACGGUGUUGGAGUAGUUUGAAAAAGAAAAGGGCACAAGUGCGGUGAUUUGCAGGUGGCAGAAAAGAAUUAAACGGCAGAGAAAAGAAGAGAUUGAGAGAAGGAUGUACGCGUGAUAAGGAGGGCAUAGGAAUUGCAGAAAGGAUUGGGUGGUAUCGUAAAUGAAAACUAACAGCCUGGACUGGCCGGCCAAGACAGAAGAUCGUUCAUUUCGGAAGCUAUAAUGAUUAAAUUUGUUUGCUUUAUAGACUGGUUCACGCUUCGAAUUUUGACGAUCAUCAAUAUAUAAUUCUCUGACGUUUGGUCAUUUGAAUGCCUUUUAUCUGGCGUUUUAAGAAAUAUAUGAAUGGUUAAAAAAAUUAAAUAAUUGAGAAUUUCAUAUAAAAAAAAAUAUAUUUAAAUUUAUUAGUCCCUCCCUUUAUAGGCAGGAGACUAAUGUUUUCGCAUCCACUUUUAACUAUUAUUUGUUUGCAUAGAUAAUCGCUUUAAAAUAUUAAAGAUGAUUUCUAAUGUUUGCUGGGCGUUGAAGUUUAUUUUUAUUUUUAAAUGUCAAAAUUUAAUUUUUUGAUUGGCUUCUAUCAUUUUUGCUGGGCUGAAAAACAAUUUUCGAUUUGUAAAAUUUAGUUAAAAAAAAUGAGCCGAUGAUAAACAAGGCAAGAUAAAAAUCAAUCCCAUAAAAAUCAAUGGGAAUGUGGGUUUUCUAUCGCUGUCCGCCAUUGAGCACGACAUUAACGUUGUGGCUGCUACAGAAAAUGCAUCCUCGCUUUAUUUCUCAUGGGGGAAUUGUGUUGCAGCGCCGUUUUUUUGUUAGCAGCAUUGAUGACAUGCUCUCUAUGUUGUUGGGCGUAGCCUCCACGUUGUUCCAGCGGGACUAUGAAGCGACCUCGCUGUUCUGACACAAAAUUGUAAUUCAAAAUGCUGUGAAGAUUUGUAUUCAAAUGUUGAAGGAAUUUUUUGUUUAAUUUUUUCUUUUUGGAUUCUGAUUUGGGUUCAGAGGCAAACCUUGUACGCUAAUUGAUUUUUGAGGGUUAAAUUUUGUGUUCCAAGAAACAAAUUUGAUAGAAUAUGCUUUUGGAGGGAUUUCCUUGAGAUUGGGACAAAUCUUAUGGUAAAAAAGGUUGGAUCGAUUUUAUUUAAUUUUUUUUAUAUGGAGAUCUAGACUUGCAAGCACGACAGUUCAGUAAGGGCAUAAAACCCGCUAGAACCUGCUAGCCCAGUGAAGACCUUCAGAAAGUAUUUUUUGCCACCAUACAGAGGCAGGAACCAAUAGACUGAAUCUCUAAGGCAACAUUUUGGUGGCAAAUGAUUUUAGAAGGGACUUACUAGAAGGUUUAUGAGGUUCUUUAUUUUCGCGUGUUGAACCACGUGGAUCAACGAUGCAAGAAUGAGGUUUUUGAAUGCAAAAGCUCAAAACAAUCGGGAAACCCACAAAGAAAUUGAUGCAGAAAAGGCAGAUGCAACACUCAACACAGUCAAGUGAACCUAGACGAUUCCUUAAACUCGAUACUUUGCUUUUCAAAGAAUUAUGAUACCCAUGCACUCAUAUUGCUACUGUCCAGGAGUAUUUGCCGAUGCUGGAGUCAUGGGAGAGAUUUCCGUCUACUCAGAGGUUGCGACCUGAGUUGAUAGCCGAGGAGCGAGCUGCUAUUGAGGAGAUGGGACUGAGACAUGUACUGUAUGUGCCUGAGUUUUGGGCAAACAUGGGUUUGCUGACUGCGCUAGCUAAGAGAUGGCACUCUAAGAUGUGCACGUUUCAUUUGCCAAUGGGUGAGAUGACAGUCACCCUGGAGGAUGUAUACAGGAUACUGAGGAUACCGAUCGAUGGGGAGCUGAUACCCUACAAUCGAGACGGAGACAGAUGCACUGAGAUGAAUGUUCUAGGAUCCAAGACUGGAGAUGAGGGUGGGACACGUGGCAUGGGAUACCAUGACAUGGAUAGGAUUAGCACUACCAAUAGUGUUGGCAGGAGUGAUCAGUGAGUUCCUCUGUAUCAGUUUUGUACCAUUUUGUAUAAUGAUGUAGACACCUGCGGGUGAUU